rnacentral:lncRNA from 1 species
UAGUACAUAAUAAUUUGUUAAAAUAUUGCAAUUUUAGUUCCUCUUGAGGAUAAAUGUUAAGAGAGAGUUGAAAAGGAGAGGGACUAUGUGCACAUAGCAGCAUGGUGUGGAGUUGGCCGGGAAGUAAUGAGGAAGAGAAGAUGGAAGUUCACCUAUCGGAGCCUGGGGCAAAGGAGUGGAGAGACUCAAGUCGAUAAACAUCAAAGAAUUCCUGUCCAGCAGACAUAGAUCUCCACCAAUGUACUAGUAUGAAGUGAGUUUGUGAGUAAGAGAAGCCGAUCAACAAAUGAGACAUAGAAUCGCAAGACUGUGAUCUGGCAGAGGGAUGGAAAGUUGCAGAGGCUGGAGCCGGCGGAGUGUCCCAGCUGGAGUCUAAGGGCUGAAUUCUGCCAUUGUGAGCACCGAAACUCCCUCCCAAAAGAGGUAAGCCUUCGUGAGCCAAGGACAAAAUUCCAGAGCUGGCUAG